CUGGUUUUAUUUUGGUUCUGAACUCGUUCCAUUCCCUCCUUCCUUCAUUAAGGGGCUAUGUAUGGGCAGGAGGCGAUUGCCCAUCUUUUGGAUUCCAGAUGGCCACGUGCCUAUUGUAUGACCAGUAAAUAGCGCUCUAAUGAUAACACGGUCUCGCUAGCCCCGCGGGGUUCCAUGUUGGUGGAGCCCAUUACCCGUUCCAUCGUGCAGCACACAGAGCGGGUUUAGCACUCGCU